GCCGCACUUGCGCCGUUUCCGCCGAAGUGGCAGUCGGCACACUCCCUCGAGAGGGGCGCUUAGCUCAGUUGGUAGAGCAUCUCGUUUACACCGAGAGGGUCGGCGGUUCGAGCCCGUCAGCGCCCACCACAUCGCUGUGGAAAACCCCUUCCGCGCCACUCGUAUGCUGAGGGGCGGGCUGCUAUCCCUCGACACAUGGCCGACAUCGAAACUCCCGACGAGA
rnacentral:tRNA from 1 species